rnacentral:rRNA from 1 species
AAUAUUGCGCAAUGGAGGGAACUCUGACGCAGCGACGCCGCGUGAGCGAUGAAGGUCUUCGGAUCGUAAAGCUCUGUCCUUGGGGAAGAAGGGAGCCGUAAGGCUUCUUGACGGUACGCAUGGAGGAAGCCCCGGCUAACUACGUGCCAGCAGCCGCGGUAAUACGUAGGGGGCAAGCGUUGUCCGGAAUUAUUGGGCGUAAAGGGUGCGUAGGCGGCCCUUUAAGUCAGAUGUGAAAGCCCACGGCUUAACCGUGGGACUGCAUUUGAAACUGGAGGGCUUGAGUGUCGGAGAGGGCAGUGGAAUUCCCAGUGUAGCGGUGGAAUGCGUAGAUAUUAGGAGGAAUACCAGUGGCGAAGGCGACUUUCUGGACUUUUUCUGACGCUGAGGAACGAAAGCAUGGGGAGCAAACA